CCUACGGGUGGCAGCAGUGGGGAAUAUUGGACAAUGGGGGGAACCCUGAUCCAGCGACGCCGCGUGAGUGAAGAAGUAUUUCGGUAUGUAAAGCUCUAUCAGCAGGGAAGAAAAUGACGGUACCUGACUAAGAAGCCCCGGCUAACUACGUGCCAGCAGCCGCGGUAAUACGUAGGGGGCAAGCGUUAUCCGGAUUUACUGGGUGUAAAGGGAGCGUAGACGGCAGCACAAGUCUGGAGUGAAAUGCCGGGGCUUAACCCCGGAACUGCUUUGGAAACUGGGCAGCUAGAGUGCAGGAGAGGUAAGUGGAAUUCCUAGUGUAGCGGUGAAAUGCGUAGAUAUUAGGAGGAACACCAGUGGCGAAGGCGGCUUACUGGACUGUAACUGACGUUGAGGCUCGAAAGCGUGGGGAGCAAACAGGAUUAGAUACCCGAGUAGUC
rnacentral:rRNA from 1 species